rnacentral:rRNA from 1 species
UACGGAGGGGACUAGCGUUGUUCGGAAUUACUGGGCGUAAAGCGCACGUAGGCGGAUUUGUAAGUCAGGGGUGAAAUCCCGGGGCUCAACCUCGGAACUGCCUUUGAUACUGCAAAUCUCGAGUCCGGAAGAGGUGAGUGGAAUUCCUAGUGUAGAGGUGAAAUUCGUAGAUAUUGGGAAGAACACCGGUGGCGAAGGCGGCUCACUGGCUCAUUUCUGACGCUCAGGCGCGACAGCGUGGGGAUCAAACAGG